ensembl:lncRNA
CUUUUUUCACAGUAGACCAACGCUACCCUUUCAAAUAACUGAAAAUACAGAAGACUGUUUGUAUGGAUAUCAUUACAAAUGAUAAAUAAAUUGUUCCUCAAAUUUAACAUUUUUUAUUAAAUUAAUUAAAAUGCAAUAUAUAUAUAUAACCAAAAUUCAAUAAAUAUAAAGCAGGUUCUGUUUCACCCCUCUUAACCACUAGCGGUGGGGGAAUAUCACCUGAAUACCUUCUUGUGCAUGCAUAUGCACAUGCCAAAAUCUCCCAAGAAAGUUACAAAGUGACAACAUGUAGUAUUUGCCUCAGCCACAUGUGCCACAAGUCUUGCAGGAGUAUGCAGGUUACCCUAUUACCACAAUGGCCAAUGGCAUCAGAAUACCAGAACUUUAGAAUUACAAGUUCAUGUGUGCCCUGACUAAUGCUAUUUGGGACUCUUUGUACACAAUACUAAGUCAGAAAAGAGAUACUUAACACAAUUCAUUGGUGUGAAGCUAGAGUCUCAAAGAGUCCCAGAGAUUACUGUGUUUGCUAAAAUCAGACUAUGAACAUUCUUAUUGUUAUUUAAAGCAAAAUCAGAACAGGACUGAAGGGGCUUCUGGACCUAUUUGUGUGGGAGGGUGUGGGGUCUAAGGGUGUUGUAAAUAUUUAAAACCGAUACAUUAAAGGAGCCAUAAAAAUAAAAAUAAAAAAAAUCAAUGUUUGCUAAGGUUAAUUCCUUGGUAAUACCUCAAUGUGGUGUGGUACCAUCUCCAGUUAAGGACAUUAGGGCUGCUGACUGCAGCUCCAGCUGUAGUUCCCUUAGGCCUGUUGGAAUUAAGGAACUUCCAGAAGUCAGUUAGCCACCUGUAACUAAUCCCCAAGCACCAUAGACAGAGAGGUGUCCUCAUCUCUAGUUCAGUGGAGACACAAAGCAUUUCUGUCAAUAGGGGUCAGCUUGCGAGAGUUACCCCAUUGAAGCCACCACGUACCCUCUCUCAAUGGCUGGGGGCAGUGUGGAGUCAGAGAAACAGAGGUCAACUACACUGUGAGAUUAGAACAGCAGGUCUUCUUACUGGUUCUGAGACACUGCCAUAUGUUGGUCCAUUUUAACAUUGAUGUGCUUUACCAUUAUGACAAUAAUCAAGAGUCAAUGUUGAAUGGCGCUGUCUACCUUGCGUGAAAACUCAUAAGGUGGGUGCACCCAUGGUUAGCCUCACUGAGGGAAAAAACUCACUUUCAGGUAUGACACAAUGGUGUGACAGAUGCGCUGUCAAGGCACUGCAUAUGCCUGGCCUCUGCACCCAGGAGUGGUUUACCAGAUCUGGGAGAAGUUUGGCAGGGCACAGGUGGACCUCUUCGCCAAUGGCAAAUCGAGUCACCG